GCAGUUGCACGGGACACUAGGCAUUCCGCGGUCUAGCCGACCGCCAAUCCUUACGGACUAGAGAGGCACGCUUAGUUUUCCGCGCUGACUGUACUCCGUUAGAUACCCCAAUUUUAUAUCAUUGCGGUAUUUUUAAACGACAACUUCGUAAAUCUGCAUUGUAUCUUAGUGCGCGAAAUGUGGAAGUACAAAAUACAAUGAAUUUUAUCGAGUAUUCGAUAAAACACUGAGUUGUAUAUGUACAUUACUUGAAAAAAUAUAUACACAACAUACUUGAAAGUAUAUGUAUUACUUGAAAAACAAAUGACAAUGAUUUCUUUAAAAAAGUUCUUAAAAAAAAACACAAUUCAGAAUAUUAACCUAUUAUAAUGUAAUUUGUCUAUAUUUUGUAUUUAAUUAAUUGACAAUUUGAAUUAAAAUUGUGUACAGUAUACAAAGAUUUCUAUUGCUCUGGGUAAAAGGGGAUCGGUAGUCUUUCCAAUAACUGUCGCCAUCUAUCCGUCGCAUUCAAUAUUAUUAAUUAUGUUGAAUUUUAUUUCCAUACAUAAAAUACAUACAUGUUGCGCAUGCGCCGAUAAUUUAAAUAAACAUAACGGUAAAUAUAAAUAACUUAAAAUUGAAUAAUAUUGCAACAAAAUCCUUAAAUUAAUUCUAAUAAUAAUUCAUUCGCUACGAAGAAAUGUCCAUUAACUUACAUGAAAUGAAUGCUUUAUAAGAUAGAAGGUAGGUUCUGUUUAUACUAAUUACUAUACUUUGGUGUUCGAUACGAGAGCUAUAUAAGACCGUUGCCUGGCAGCAGUCUUUAGUCGAAGCCGAUCAGUGACAAGUGAAGGAUGUACUUAACAUUCUCUCCCAAAGACAAUAAAAUUUCGAAGGCGGUAGAAAUUAUUCCAGUAUUUACGAUUUUUUAAAUCGUGAUUAUACAAUUUACACAUAAGGUAUAAUUUUGUGAUAUAAAUAAAUAAAAAGCAUAAAUAAAAUGCGUAAGAUCAUCUCAGUUUUCAAAUUUCGUAGUAAAUAAGUAUUUAAAUACCGGAAAUUGGAAAAUAAAAUUAAAAAAUCUUUAUACGCUAUGUUAAUACGCAUGCUUGUCACGUGUUACAUUCAUCACUCAUACUUCCAACUAAGAAAUAUUUAUUGUUCCCUCUAUAUUAUCGCGUUUUAUAAAUUGAGAUUUUAAUUAAAUUUCGGCGAUAAUACAUAUAACAAAUAUGUAUUAUUAAUAUGUAAAACUGCACAACGGUAAUAAUGGAAUAUACAUACAGCAAAAUUGGAUUUCUUAGAUGUUUACGAACGAAUAGGUCAUUCAAACUUCUUAUUUUCAUUACAACCAUAGCAAUAUCACGUGGUAUUUAAUUAAAUUUUAUCUAUAAAUCCAUAUAUAUUUCAUUAAUUCAAAAUUCUUUUCUGCACAACUCUCAGAAAUCAUCGAAAUCGUGAUCAACUGCAAUUUUCAACUGCUUUUAAUCUUCAGUGUAAUAUCAUUAUCACUUGGUCGUACUUCUCACUUCACUUAUUUCAAGAGAUUCAGGAAAUUAUGAAAUUUUAUACUAGAUACGUCACUGAAUCUUAUAAAUAGGUGAACCAUAUCCUCAAUCGGAUUUCGCAUCGUGUGUCAGGGAUCGGCUGCAGCAGCUAGGUACAUACCGCUCAAAGAGUGGCCAGGGCCAGCGCGUAAGAUCGCGCAGACGAUGUGACAACGUUGCACGGUCGAUAUGCUCUUUCAGGCAAAGUGCCAAGAUUGGUAAACGCACGCGGCGGUAUAUAGUCGUGGUUUCAGGUGCCCUUCCCUCCUCUAACGCCCGCGUUUCACCCCCACCGUCAUUCCUGGAACUUACCCGUGAGAUUCUGCGUGAUGGUGGGGGUUAAAUAACAAAGGUGGGGGAACUGAAGCUGCGCAGAACGUUGCCAGACAUACGUCGCUGUUUGUGCCUCUGCGCAGCCUUACAUACAUAUACUCGACAGCCUCCUAUGUACUACAUAUGUAUUAUACUUAUUAUUUUAAUCAUGAUUUACGGCUGCAACGUUGCCGGUUCUCGCUGCAGGCACGCCCACUCGGUCUCCCUUUUUUCACUUUUCAGUCGUACAUACUAAUACAUAGAUGUAUGCGGGGAAAAGCAACGUCGCUUGAUCGAUACUUAAAGAAACAUAUAAAAACAAAAAGAUGUACAAAGUUGUAUUUAUCAGCAUCGUAUGAGCAUAUUUACGAAUAAAGAUACGUCUUUAUUGAGAUACAAAAUAAAAAAUCGUUAGCUUUCGUGCAUAGAUUAAGCAACUAAAACUAAAAUAAAGAAUAUUUAAAAAAUCAUAACUAUAUACGUUGUAAUUAAAAUAUUUAUAUGUUUGUUACUCUUUUAUUUCGAUUGCGUUUUUCUAUAAAUAAUUAUAUAUAUAACAGGAAUAACAAAGAUGUUAAUCUAUAUUACCGUGCAACGUUGCCAUUACAAAAUGGCCGUCGCGGCCUUGAUUGGCCCGAUUUCUUCUAUGGCAUACGCUGGGCCAGUCGUUUUGGCAACACUGGAAGGUCAUAACAAUCUAUUUAUAGCAGCCCUCUAUUGCUGCUGUUGCUAUGCCAAGUGAAGGCACAGUUCGCGGGGAGGGGAGGCAGUGGAAAUGGAGGGGGAAGAGAUUACUGAAGAACAAUAUGGCGUUGAACAGGAUAUACCCUGUACCGAUCUAUCCAUUCUCUUUGCCAUAACUGCAUUGUCCUUCUUUCUUUCUAACGUUCACCAUCUUUCUCUUACAAUUUCCUUCUUCUUCCUAAUAGCAACGUAUAUCAUUCAUUUUGUUCAAUUAUGAAAUCAAAAGAGCAAACAUUACAUAACGCUAUGAAAUAUAGUACAGAAGAGACACAAUUAAAUAUGAUAGCCUUAAUCUUGAUAAGACGUAUGGGACGAGGUUACCAUCGCCUUAGUGUUCUGUGACGAGGAAAACAAGGAUGAUUCGAAGAGUGGGGAGAACGAAUAUUCGACAUAUUCACAAUAAUGAAAGAGGACCAUCUAAAUAUGUUGCAUCAUUUUUCUAAAUGUAAUUUUUUGCGCAACUCAGUAGAAUUGCAUAUGGCGGCGUGCACUUGCAGCAGCUGACAAGCAUCGUGGUGUGCGUUUUCAUGGUACACAAGCACGCAUGCGACUUGCACGAAGCCGCGCCGCUUCGGGAAUGCUCGGCAAACUUCGUGAAACUGCCUCUUUGUUACAUCAUUCUUUAGCUCUUAUGUAGUACAUAGAGGCGGAUACAUUAUAUACUGCGUCUGCACAUAUUUCCCUCCCAGCUCUCGCUCUCGUAUGUACAGUGUAUAUAGCUGCCUUUGCAUAUAUGUGCCGGCGAAGCAAACGGGCGGACGGUCGGAGGAGUGAGAUCAGCUCCAUGUUACACGAGGCGCACAAAUGUAAAUCAACUAGAACGGACACUAGAGGUAACUAUGGUAUAUAUAGCGUUUUAAAAUGACCGAAGAAAAAUCUUUAAAAGAGAAAGAAAAAUAAAAUAGUUUCAAUCGUUGCGUUGUAUGGAACAAGAAAAGGAAUGCAAUAGAAGGUAAAAAGUAUACGUCAGAUUUUAAGAGAACAAGACGUGUAUUUAGAUUCAAUGUGUCGUUGUUGCAACGGUAUAUUGUCAACACGUGAGAUGCAGAUGUUGACAGGUAGUCGCAUCGGGGAACCACGUUUCGCCGGGUCUGCACGAGGCGCAGCUCAUAGAAAACAGAAAACACGACGUGUACCUUCUAGGCACUGGGCGCUGGUACAACCCGUAUAACAGAGCGAGAGGGUACUGAGAUUGGAUGUGGUAGAAAAUCAAGCGAGGAGUACACAGGAGUACCAAGAAAGGUAAAGAAGGAUAGAAGAUGAGAAUUUAAACGAGAGAGGAAUACAGAUGGAUAGGAAGAGAAAAAGAGACGGGGAAUACUGGGAGAAAGAGAGGGGGAAACGAUACGCGCGAGUCUGUUGUCGCCGCCACCGCGACCACCGCCGCCACCCAUAACCUCAAA